rnacentral:tRNA from 1 species
GCGGGAUUAGUAUAGUGGUAGUACGUUACCUUGCCAAGGUAAAGACGCCAGUUCGAUCCUGGUAUCCCGCUCCA